AAGAAACCAACAGGGAUUGCCCCAGUAACGGCGAGUGAAGCGGCAACAGCUCAAAUUUGAAAUCUGGCCCCCCGGGUCCGAGUUGUAAUUUGUAGAGGAUGCUUUUGGCGAGGUGCCUUCCGAGUUCCCUGGAACGGGACGCCAUAGAGGGUGAGAGCCCCGUCUGGUCGGACACCGAGCCUCUGUAAAGCUCCUUCGACGAGUCGAGUAGUUUGGGAAUGCUGCUCAAAAUGGGAGGUAUAUGUCUUCUAAAGCUAAAUACUGGCCAGAGACCGAUAGCGCACAAGUAGAGUGAUCGAAAGAUGAAAAGCACUUUGAAAAGAGGGUUAAAAAGUACGUGAAAUUGUUGAAAGGGAAGCGCCUAUGACCAGACUUGGGCCCGGUGAAUCAUCCAGCGUUCUCGCUGGUGCACUUUGCCGGGCACAGGCCAGCAUCAGUUUGGCGCGGGGGAUAAAGGCUUUGGGAAUGUGGCUCCCUCGGGAGUGUUAUAGCCCACUGCGCAAUACCCUGCGCCGGACUGAGGCACGCGCAUCGCAAGGAUGCUGGCGUAAUGGUCAUCAGCGACCCGUCUUGAAACACGGACCAAGGAGUCGUCUUCGUAUGCGAGUGUUCGGGUGUCAAACCCCUACGCGUAAUGAAAGUGAACGCAGGUGAGAGCUUCGGCGCAUCAUCGACCGAUCCUGAUGUUCUCGGAUGGAUUUGAGUAAGAGCAUACGGGGCCGGACCCGAAAGAAGGUGAACUAUGCCUGUAUAGGGUGAAGCCAGAGGAAACUCUGGUGGAGGCUCGCAGCGGUUCUGACGUGCGAAUCGAUCGUCAAAUAUGGGCAUGGGGGCGAAAGACUAAUCGAACCUUCUA
rnacentral:rRNA from 1 species